UACGAAGGGGGCUAGCGUUGCUCGGAAUCACUGGGCGUAAAGCGCACGUAGGCGGACUCUUAAGUCGGUGGUGAAAUCCUGGAGCUCAACUCCAGAACUGCCUUCGAUACUGGGAGUCUCGAGUUCGGGAGAGGUGAGUGGAACUGAGAGUGUAGAGGUGAAAUUCGUAGAUAUUCGCAAGAACACCAGUGGCGAAGGCGGCUCACUGGCCCGAUACUGACGCUGAGGUGCGAAAGCGUGGGGAGCAAACAGG
rnacentral:rRNA from 1 species